CGCCUGGGGAGUGCGGCCGCAAGGUUAAAACUCAAAUGAAUUGACGGGGGCCCGCACAAGCGGUGGAGCAUGUGGUUUAAUUCGACGCAACGCGAAGAACCUUACCUGGCCUUGACAUGCAGAGAACUUUCCAGAGAUGGAUUGGUGCCUUCGGGAACUCUGACACAGGUGCUGCAUGGCCGUCGUCAGCUCGUGUCGUGAGAUGUUGGGUUAAGUCCCGUAACGAGCGCAACCCCUAUCCCUAGUUGCUAGCAGUUCGGCUGAGAACUCUAGGGAGACUGCCGGUGACAAACCGGAGGAAGGUGGGGAUGACGUCAGGUCAUCAUGGCCCUUACGGCCAGGGCUACACACGUGCUACAAUGGCGCGCACAGAGGGCUGCAAACCCGCGAGGGGGAGCCAAUCUCACAAAGCGCGUCGUAGUCCGGAUCGCAGUCUGCAACUCGACUGCGUGAAGUCGGAAUCGCUAGUAAUCGUGAAUCAGAAUGUCACGGUGAAUACGUUCCCGGGCCUUGUACACACCGCCCGUCACACCAUGGGAGUGGAUUGCACCAGAAGUGGUUAGUCUAACCUUCGGGAGGACGAUCACCACGGUGUGGUUCAUGACUGGGGUGAAGUCGUAACAAGGUAACCGUA
rnacentral:rRNA from 1 species